rnacentral:rRNA from 1 species
UACGUAGGUGGCAAGCGUUGUCCGGAUUUACUGGGCGUAAAGAGCGUGUAGGCGGCCACGCAGGUCCGUUGUGAAAACUGGAGGCUCAACCUUCAGACGUCGACGGAAACUGUCUGGCUAGAGUCCGGAAGGGGCGAGUGGAAUUCCUGGUGUAGCGGUGAAAUGCGCAGAUAUCAGGAGGAACACCAAUGGCGAAGGCAGCUCGCUGGGGACGGUACUGACGCUGAGGCGCGAAAGCGUGGGGAGCGAACAGG